rnacentral:rRNA from 1 species
GAUGAACGCUGGCGGCGUGCCUAAUACAUGCAAGUAGAACGCUGAAGGAGGAGCUUGCUCUUCUGGAUGAGUUGCGAACGGGUGAGUAACGCGUAGGUAACCUGCCUGGUAGCGGGGUAUAACUAUUGGAAACGAUAGCUAAUACCGCAUGACAACAGUUAUUGCAUGAUAACUGUUUAAAAGGGGCAACUGCUCCACUACCAGAUGGACCUGCGUUGUAUUAGCUAGUUGGUGAGGUAACGGCUCACCAAGGCGACGAUACAUAGCCGACCUGAGAGGGUGAUCGGCCACACUGGGACUGAGACACGGCCCAGACUCCUACGGGAGGCAGCAGUAGGGAAUCUUCGGCAAUGGACGGAAGUCUGACCGAGCAACGCCGCGUGAGUGAAGAAGGUUUUCGGAUCGUAAAGCUCUGUUGUAAGAGAAGAACGAGUGUGAGAGUGGAAAGUUCACACUGUGACGGUAUCUUACCAGAAAGGGACGGCUAACUACGUG